rnacentral:lncRNA from 1 species
UGAGUAGAGAGAGAGGGGUUGAAAUCGCUGGAAUGAAGAGAAACGGGUUGCAGCUGUUCCUUGAUCCAAAAUAUUACAUCAGAGACCUGUAGAGAGAGCUAGGGAGGCUCAAUAUAAUGGCACACACAAGAGGAACACCAUGGAUGGGAAGGAAACGGGCCAAAUGGAGCAAAAACAGGGUUGUUUUGCUCCUGCAACCAGCAGCAAACUCCACCUAUUUUCUCUCCGAUCUCCCUCAUGAACCCAUGCAUGUGCGAGAUAUUUGGAUGGAUGGAAAGCUUAAAUGAUGGGGAUUGUUGUGGUCUAACAUGCAGGGAUUGAUCUUGGGCUAUUGGAUGGGAUUUGGGGAGGAGAAGUGAGAUAAGUGCUCAGCUUGGGAAAGAAGAGAAAGGGCAAGCAGUGAAAAUGAAAGAGGAGGAAGAAGAGGAGGUUUCCUCUGUCUCCCUUAAGUCCUGAGGUGGGGAGGACGUUCAUUGGUGUGG